rnacentral:rRNA from 1 species
UGAAAAGAGAGUUAAACAGUAUGUGAAAUUGUUAAAAGGGAACCGUUUGGAGCCAGACUGGCUUGAUCGUAAUCACUCUAGGCUUUGGCCUGGAUGCACUUGCGGUCUAUGCCGGCCAACGACAGUUUUGUUUGAGGGAAAAAAUUACAUUGAAUGUGGCCCUUCGGGGUGUUAUAGCUUUGUAAAAAAUACCUUGGACGGGACUGAGGAACGCAGCGAAUGCCUUUAGGCGAGAUUGCUGGGUGCUUGCGCUGAUACAUGCUAGAAUUUCUGCUUCGGGUGGUGCUAGUGUGUAAAGGAGUAACCCGCUUAGUAUAUUUUUUAUUCGCUUAGGUUGUUGGCUUAAUGACUCUAAAUGACCCGUCUUGAAACACGGA